rnacentral:rRNA from 1 species
CACGUAGGGCGCAAGCGUUGUCCGGAAUCAUUGGGCGUAAAGAGCGCGUAGGCGGCCCUGUAAGUCCGCUGUGAAAGUCAAGGGCUCAACCCUUGAAUGCCGGUGGAUACUGCAGGGCUAGAGUCCGGAAGAGGCGAGUGGAAUUCCUGGUGUAGCGGUGAAAUGCGCAGAUAUCAGGAGGAACACCGAUGGCGAAGGCAGCUCGCUGGGACGGUACUGACGCUGAGACGCGAAAGCGUGGGGAGCGAACAGG